rnacentral:ncRNA from 1 species
AGUAAUGCAACUAUGAAUCUAAUGGAGAGUUCGAUCCUAGCUGAAGAUGAAUGGAAAGUGGUGUUUCUAAUGGCUGACAAGAACUUGCCAUUAGGAAAGAACAACUGCUAAUACCUUGUAAGUUGAGGAGCAAAAGGAGGAAUUCGUUCAAUGAGGGGUUUGCGUCUGAUUAUCUAGUUGAUGAGGUAAUAUCUUACCAAUGCGAUGAUUAGUAGCUGGUCCAAGAGGAUGAUCAACCACGCUAGGACUAAGACAUGGUCUAGACUUCUACGGGAGGCAAGAGUAGGGAAUUUUCCACAAUGGGUGAAAGCCACCUUAUUGG